rnacentral:rRNA from 1 species
AAUGAACGCUGGCGGCAGGCCUAAAACAUGCAAGUCGAACGCCCUAGCAAUAGGGAGUGGCGCACGGGUGAGUAACAUGUGGGAAUAUGCCUUUUGGUACGGAACAACGUUUGGAAACGAACGCUAAUACCGUAUGGUCCCUCCGGGGCAAAGAUUUAUCGCCAAAAGAUUAGCCCGCACUAGAUUAGCUAGUUGGUAAGGUAAUGGCUUACCAAGGCGACGAUCUAUAGCUGUUCUGAGAGGAAGAUCAGCCACACUGGGACUGAGACACGGCCCAGACUCCUACGGGAGGCAGCAGUUAGGAGUAUUGGACAAUGGGCGCAAGCCUGAUCCAGCCAUGCCGCGUGAGUGAUGAAGGCCUUCGGGUUGUAAAGCUCUUUAGCCGACGAAUAUAAUGACUGUAGUCGGAGAAUAAGCCCCGGCUAACUUCGUGCCAGCAGCCGCAGUAACAC